UGGGUAAUGCAUGGGUAACGUACCCCGGACACGGGAAUAGCCAGUUGAAAGACUGGGUAAUGCCCGAUGAUGUCCUCAGGUCGCUUGGCCUGAGGACCAAAAGAUGGCCUCUACAUGUAAGCUAUCGGUUUGGGAGCGGCUCAUGUCUUAUCAGCAAGUUGGUAGGGUAACGGCCUACCAAUGCUAAGACGAGUAGCUGGUCUGAGAGGAUGAUCAGCCACAUCGGGACUGAGACACUGCCCGGACCUCCACGGAGGGCUGCAGCGACGAAUCAUCCGCAAUGCGCGAAAGCGUGACGGUGCGACGCCGCGUGUGGGACGAAGCCCCUAGGGGUGUAAACCACUGUCGGGCCCAAGCAAGCAAAGGAGGCAAAUAGUCUCCGGCGUUGAGCUAAGCCAUAGGAAGCCUCGGCUAACUCUGUGCCAGCAGCCGCGGUAAGACAGAGGAGGCUAGCGUUGCUCGGAAUUACUGGGCUUANNGGGUGUGUAGGCGGCUAGGUAAGCGUCUUGUGAAAUCCCUCGGCUUAACCGAGGAAUUGCUUGGCGAACUGCCUGGCUUGAGGCGCGUAGGGCUAGUAGAACUCUGGGUGGAGCGGUGAAAUGCGUAGAUAUCCAGGGGAAUGCCGGUGGCGAAGGCGACUAGCUGGGCGCGUCCUGACGCUGAGGCACGAAAGCGUGGGGAGCAAACGGGAUUAGAUACCCCGGUAGUCCACGCUGUAAACGAUGUGCACUAGGUUCGAGGACUUCUGACAGUUUUCGGGCCGAA
rnacentral:rRNA from 1 species